ensembl:lncRNA
AUGACCAACCUGUCAAGCACAUUCCAACCCCUGCUUGCAGUGGGUCAGCUCCUAUUUGAAGGCCAAAGAAAGUCGUGUGACCAAGACCAAGAGCCCCUUCACCACUGGACAAGCGGCCAGGAUUCUGUUAAUGAUCAAACUGGAGCAACGCGCAGCUGGUCUCGCUGGUCACCGGAAGCUCAGGAAGAAAUGAAGCCACUGGGAAAAACCACUGAUGCCGUGACCUUCUGCUCACAGGGCCCCAGUGCAGGCCAAAGACAGUCCCCAGCAGAUUCUGUUCUGAGAAAUGAAGCGAGACUGUCAGGCUUUUGUGUGAAUUAUGGAGGGAGGAUUCACAGCCCUUGGAAUCAUCUGGAAUCCUCACAAGGCGAUCUUUCAAGUCCGGAGCAUCUCCGGGCCUGUUUUGGGAAUUACUUGGCAACCUCCUGGGACACAAUAGGAGCUUAA